CGCCUUUUUGGUUUUUGUUAUGUUGACUUGUGUUUUAGCCUGUCUUUUCCUUUGUUUUCUGUCGAUGGCCAUGAGUUUAAUGACUGCUGUUUAUUCAGGAGCUGGGGUUCCACGGGUGCAGGAGCUUGAGGUGGUGGUGUCACUUCAUCAUUUGCUGUGGACACGUUUGUGUGUGCAGUGAGUGUGUCGGGUGU